rnacentral:misc_RNA from 1 species
GUAUUGUGUUGCGUUAAACGCGGCAUACAUUCCAUAAGACUUUAUUACAGUGUGUGUGUGUAAAGACGUAGAACUAUGGAGGGAGGACAGGGUCCCCCCCCUCAAACCAUAGAACUACAGAAGGUGCACAGGUGUGAGUGGAUGUGUGAACAAGAGCGUGCACAUGCCCCCAUUUGAGGACCAGCAACAACUCGUGUCGACAAUUCAGUAAUGAUCCUUCCGCAGGUUCACCUACGGAAA